rnacentral:siRNA from 1 species
UAAAACGACUCUCGGCAAC